GCUAGCGACAGGCCUAACACAUGCAAGUCGAGGGGCAGCACAAGGAGCAAUCUGAGGUGGCGACCGGCGCACGGGUGAGUAACACGUAUGCAACCUGCCUGUAAGCGGGGAAUAACCCGUUGAAAGACGGACUAAUACCGCAUAAUACUAAAUUACUGCAUGGUAAUUUAUUUAAACAUUUAUGGCUUACAGAUGGGCAUGCGCAUGAUUAGCUAGUUGGAGAGGUAACGGCUCCCCAAGGCAACGAUCAUUAGGGGUUCUGAGAGGAAGGUCCCCACACUGGUACUGAGACACGGACCAGACUCCUACGGGAGGCAGCAGUGAGGAAUAUUGGUCAAUGGACGAGAGUCUGAACCAGCCAAGUCGCGUGCAGGAAGAAUGUCCUAUGGAUUGUAAACUGCUUUUGCAGGGGAAUAAAGUGCAUCACGUGUGAUGUUUUGUAUGUACUCUGCGAAUAAGGAUCGGCUAACUCCGUGCCAGCAGCUGC
rnacentral:rRNA from 1 species